rnacentral:hammerhead_ribozyme from 1 species
AUCCAUCUGACGAGUAUCAAAUAGGACGAAACUCGCGUCCUGGAU